UUCAAAUAAAUCCAAUUUUCCAAAUAUCAAUACUUUGAUCUAGUUGAGAUCAUUAAAAAACUUUUGUCCAGCAAUUUGUAUGUUCUCAAAUGUCAGGGUGGCGCAACUGUAAAAAUGUGGCUUUUAUUCUGAAGUGGAAUGUCAUUAAUAGUAAACAGGAUAUUGCAUCAUCCAGAGGACCCCAACUGACCUUUAUGACGAGUGAAAAGAUGCCAUUAUCAACUAAGGAAAAAUCUGCACGACACAGGGAGCGCACUAAAAAUGAUCCGGCUGCAAGAGAAACAUACCUUGCAAAAAGAAAAGAAAGGUAUGAUAAACUGUAAUGCAAGCCUGGAUUUUGUAGGUGUUACUUUUAUACAGUUGUCAGACCUUUCAAAGUUUGUAAUGGGAAUAUGCCAGUUGAUCAGUUCUCAUGUUUUGUAGUUAUCAGAGGAGGAAGAGAGAGGGAAAAAUUGUGAAACCCCCCAUCAGCCAGCUGUCCACAACAGAACAGAAAAAAGCGAGACAACAGUGGAAGCAAGACCAGAGAAAGCUCAGGGAAAGGAACAGGGCUAUGGAGGACAUUUUGAAUUGUACACCAGAGUCAAUGGAUACUACUCCCAUAGAAGUCCCAGCAGAGUUUCAACCUAACCCUCCUAACAUUGAUAGAGGGAAUAUUGUCAGUUUAGAUCCACCCAGAGCAUCCUCAACACCAGAGAGAGUAGCCAACAGUAAUGUGAAAUGGCUAAGAGAGAAAGCGAAAUUGCGCCGUAAAAUGCACAAAAUGAAAAGUGAGAUGGAAGUUGCCAAAAAAGAGUCUGAAAAAUUAAGAAAGCGCGUAGAAAGAUUAAGGGUCAAAGAAUCGAAGAAG